UACGUAGGGGGCAAGCGUUGUCCGGAAUCAUUGGGCGUAAAGCGCGUGUAGGCGGCUCGAUAAGUCUGCUGUGAAAGUCCAGGGCUCAACCCUGGGAUGCCGGUGGAUACUGUCGAGCUCGAGUCCGGAAGAGGCGAGUGGAAUUCCUGGUGUAGCGGUGAAAUGCGCAGAUAUCAGGAGGAACACCAAUGGCGAAGGCAGCUCGCUGGGACGUGACUGACGCUGAGGCACGAAAGCUAGGGGAGCAAACAGG
rnacentral:rRNA from 1 species